rnacentral:lncRNA from 1 species
GCAAGCGGUGUGGUUGGAGAAAGGGCCUGUGUGGGAAAAGGAGGGAGUCCUAGGAAGAGGGGGUGAGCCCCCAGAGAGGCCCUGACACCCAGCAGGGGACGCAGAGGACAGAAGAAGCGGGGGUCAUCACUGGGCCUGAGCGCGGCAGCAGCAAGUGAUGAGAACCGAGCAGAGGCGGCCAGUGGGGCUGAGACCUCAGGCAGGAAGGGGCCGGAGUGUGGAGGGUCAGGAGACGGGACACACGGUAGUUCUCGUCCUCUGCUCCCUGAUGCCCACGCGGUCUCCUCUGCCCCCGCGCUUGGGGCCCCUCUGCAGUGCCGAGGGCUGACCCUCAGCUGAAACACAGGCUGCUGCUGCCCGCCAGCCUGGCUGGGCGCGGACUUCCAUCCCUCCCGUCCCUGGGUGGGGGGCCGAUCUCGAGGGCUCAGAGAGGUGGAGUGGCCUGGCCAUUUCACCCAGCUGCCCCCCAGCCUCAGAAGCCAUCUGGGAAUGCGGGGGACCCCAGAGGAGCUGGGAGGGGCCGCACACCCGGGGAGGAGUUCUGAGACCGAUGGACUGCAGGGCCGGCCCAGCCCCCCGACCACCGUUUGGAGGAGCUCAGAGAACAGACGUGUCCGCGCCAGGUGGCCCCGGUGCGAGGCAGCACUGCCCCCUGCUGGACGCGCAGGGCAGAGGCCGCGCGGGGCCUUCCCGUCUGGCAGGUGCCCACUCCCGGCCCCUGGAUUCGCCGGGAGCCUCGGAACUCCGCGGGCCAGGCCACGCCCCCGUCUGAUUACGUCAGAGGGUCGGGGUCGGGGCAGAGGGGGGCCACCCCGCUGGGCAGCGGAGCCCACUGCGCGCUCANNNNNNNNNNNNNNNNNNNNNNNNNNNNNNNNNNNNNNNNNNNNNNNNNNNNNNNNNNNNNNNNNNNNNNNNNNNNNNNNNNNNNNNNNNNNNNNNNNNCCACGCCCCCGUCUGAUUACGUCAGAGGGUCGGGGUGGGGGCAGAGGGGGGCCACCCCGCUGGGCAGCGGAGCCCACUGCGCGCUCAGCCCGGACUGGGAGUGGGCGGGCGCUGUCCCCUCUGGACCUCAGUUUCUCCGUUCCCCCAGUGGAGACAGACACCUCCACCUCCCAGGGCUGUUGUGCCGAGGUGGGCGAGACCUCAGUCAUCCAGAAAAGUCCCUGAGGUUGCCACAUCCUGGGUCAUUUUCCUGGGACAUGGCUGUCCCCCGGGCACAGGCCUGGCAAGUGUGGGGGCUGGAGGCCUCCGCCUCUGGUCUGGGGCCACAUCUGGAGGAGGUCGGGGCUGUGGGCCGGUUCCAGGCUGCGGGACCAGGAGGGUCAGCGUUGUCAUGCCCUUGACGGUGAAAGCCCCAGGGAGGUCAGAGCCGCCAGUGGGGGUGGGAAUCCCGGGCUGUGGGGGCCUUGGUUCCUCAUUCAUUCACGCACUCACAGACCACACUUACAGGCCAGGCUCCACCCUGAGGGGCUCUCUAUCCCACCAGGGCCCCUGGGCCCUGACCUAACCUGGGGGCUGGCUGCAGACUGCGACUCAGAACCUGAGAGCCGGCGCUUGGCACCCUGCGAGCGAGGCUGGGAAAAACCCAGUCCCGCCAGAGGCGUGCUGUUGGUUCUCAUGCUUCUGAGGCAGAGGUGGGUCAGGAGCGUCCAGGGAAUCCAGGCCCACGGCCCCGAGGGGCUCGUGGCGGAGGCAGGGGCGGGAUCACUGUGCUCGGCUUUGCUGGCUGCGCUGCCCCAGGUUAGGGCCCACCCAGCUCCGGGAGCCCGCUCUGCCUGGGGGCCUGAGAUCCCUGAGCUGCCCCCACGUUGGGCCUCUGUCCUCCUGUCCCUCUUUCUCUGCGGUGGCUGCCGGGGCCCUCCAGGAGGCCCGAGGCUCGGGAGGCCAGGCCUGGGGUCCGCCCCCAGCUGGACCUGGGUGGACAGAGCGUUUCCCUCCUGGGCCUCAGCCUCCCCUCUGCGGACGGGGGACAGCCGCAGUGGGUACGGGCCGUGCAGGCGUGGAGCAGAG